AAUCCCAACCCUUGGCUUCGCAGGAAGGAUGACCCCAAACCUCCGACCAGACCCACUGCAGAGAGCCAGCAGGAAGCUGGAUGUGGGCUGUUGGCCGAGUGAACUGCUUCUGCAUGAUGAGAGGUGUUUCUUCAAUGAGGCCAGGAGUCCGUGUAGCAGAAAACUUGUCCCCGGAGAGGAGGAAAGGCAGUUUAAUGGAGAAGGGAGUCAAACUUGAGUCAAACUUUAUUGCCAAUGUGGUUGCUUGCUUAGGUAGUGGUGUUGCCAUUACUGGCAAAAUCAGUUAUGUACUAAAAUCAAAACCCUUGAUUUGAGCUAAAUAGGAAUUGUGAAGUUAAAAUUUGAAAAAAAAAAAAAAAAAAAAAAAAAAAGUAAAUACAAUUUAUAGUUUAAAUGGGAAUUUUCUAAUCCAAAGCUGGUGAAAAGCCAUUGCAGAACAUAAAUUUCAGUAAAAGAAAGGAUUAAUGUUACAGUAAUGUUGUUACACACACAAAAUGUAAAUAAAUGAAUGUGUGUUUAUAGCGAUAUAAAUAAGAAAGUCCCUGGGAAAGGGCAAUGUCUGAACAAAGCGAAGCACAUCAGAGGAGGCGAUGGUACGUUGUGGGUCAGCACAGUGCACAUCUUCCAUCACCUCCUGUCUGUCACAGGCUUUUUGAUUUCUGGAUGAGUCAGAAGUUGAACUAUGCAGCAUAAAAACCAAACUGUGAUGAAAUAGAUGGUGACCUGGCAUGUCAGAUAUCCAUACUAUUUUAUUUUUUUUUUGUACUGGAACAAGUGCAUCUCUAGAAUUGUCACACAAAUGGAGAAAGUUGUUGUUUCACAGGUGGGGAAGUUUUUAAGACCAUGUUUCAGACUUCAGUCUCUGUCAGUUUGCUUUUUGAAAUACUCACUGUAAGCGGAUGAUCUCAAAGAACCCAGCUCCUCCGAACAAUGGCUGUUCCCCUAUCAGGACUGCAGUUAACCUGCUUAAAUGAAAGUGUAGAUGUGCAACAGGUGCAGGGACUUUCACACCUUUAAUAAGUUAAAUAAUUUCUUGGCAAACUGCUGGCAGGCCAAGCUUUGAUUUGGGGAGUGAUUUUUAUUCACUCUUUGUUUUUCAUCCUCCUUCCCAGGUAAACAAAGAAGCAGCGAACCCCAGAGUAAAGACUGGAGGAAGCAGAAAUACAGCACUCACUUGGACUCGGCCUAAAGUUAAGCUUCAAAAGGCCUAGAGAAAAGUAUAGAUUAAAAAGGAAUCUCACUAGAUUUUUGUAUUCAAAGGAGAUAGUGCUCCCCUUCUGGUACCUGAGAUCUAGUUUGCAAUGCUGAAUGAGAGACUGAACGUAUUGAGGUGGAAUCAUCUGCAAUGUGUGCAGGGGCACUUUUAAUCCUGGCCUCUAACCUGAGGGAAGGCAGGCUUCCUUUGAUGAAGCUUCUUCAUUCAAAGCUGCUGACUGUGCCCAUGAGUGCUCGGUGGAGAUUUCCCCUCAGCAGUGGGUCCUGGACCAUUUUCUUGUGCCUGGCUGGGGCAGGGUUUGGGGUUUGGUGUUUCUGCAGUGCUAAGCACAGCCUGGCCCUGGGGUUCCCUGGAGCAACCAUAAUGCAAACAAUAACAAGUUGAAGCCACCACGUAACCUUUCUACUGGUGCAAGAGUGUAGAAAGUGAAGAUCCGACUUGGAUUUCUGUUCUCAAAUUCACUGGAUUAAUAACAAAGGGAAGGGGCUGUUCUCUUCAUUCUGGAGAAGGCGAUCUCUGAAAAUCUCUCACUGAUGAGAGAUCAGAGCAAAAAAGAUUGCUUUAGGUUGGACUGCUCCAGCUUCAUGGAGGAUCUUGGAUUCUGAAAUGGAUUCUGCUCUUGUGUACUACUCCAGAAAAUGUUUCUUCUAGAGAUAUGAAUAUGCUAUUGAUGCGCUUCAAAUCUAGUAGAAUUUAGUGGAGUUUAAGAAUUAAUUACACUUGCAGCAAGAAACUUUGUUUUCCAUAGAAGAUAGCUUCAGAGCACACUAAUCACAAAUGUGGCAAUCCUUACAGAAAUGAGUGAUUUUCAUUACAGCAUCAUAAAAUAAUUAUGUUUUGGAAACACAAAUUCAGAGCAGUUGCAAACAAAGAUGCCGCAACAAUGUGAAUGGAAGCCAACAAGAAAGCUUUAAUUUUUACUGUUAAUGCUUAACAAUGAUUUUAAUUAUGUAUUUAUUUGGGGGGACUGUUCAGCCAGGCUCCUUCCAGCGGAGCCCGGAGGCAGCGGGCACUGAUGGAGCACAGGCGAUCCCCCCAGCCCCAGCAGCACGUCUGAGCCCUGCAGUGCCACAGCCCUGGCCCAGAGCUUGGGGGGCUCCUUGGGGAUGUCCCAAAGCCGCCUGGAUGUGGGGCUGGGCACCCUGCUUGUGGAUCCUGCUGGGGCAGGGGGGGAACGCUAAGGUCCUUGGCCACCUCGGCCAGCCUGGGGCUCUGCGCUAUGCUGGCAGCAGGCUUCCAAAGCGCCCCAUUCCUCUGGCAAAUGGAGGUGGCAAUCUGCCUGUGGGACCUCCAUGGAAGUGGGGAGAAAUUUAAUGAAUUGGACAGCAAUCUGGUGGAAAUAGUGCUGGGCUGGUUGGCCCUGCCCUUGGGCAAGGUCCCUCCUGGCUGUGUCUCCACAAGGUGCCAUGCGCAGCGCUGCUCCCCACUCCCCCACGCGUGCUGGGGGGGCUGCAGGAGCACAUCUGCAGCCAACAAAUCUUUCCCGGGUUUGUAGUCCAAUUUGCCAAUGACAUAAAGAUUCACUCUGCAGCAAGAAAUAUGUUUAUGAAGUUUGAAAGGAUUAGCUAGGCAUCUUUUUGCAAUUCAAUAAGUAUUUUAUGAUCAAUUUUAGCUAACACCAGCAUUUCUGUAAGCAAUUGGUCUCUGCUUUUGACAAUGCUUUUGCUGGGUUUCGCUGCUAUGAGAGAAAGCUGAAGGGUCUUAGUACCUGAUGGGGAUUAGAUCGCUGAGAAUUGCAAUCAGUUUCUGAAAACUACAACUUCUGAUGAAAUUCCCAAAGCAUAAGCAGCGAUGUAUUUAGCCAGUGUAAAUCAGGGAAGUUCCACUAGAUUUAGUAAAGCUAGCUUACAUCACUUGAAGGUGUCAGCUUUUUCAGAUGCUUUUGAGAAAAUGGCAAAAGGGUUUUUGUGUGCAUGUGUGUUUCUGAGCCUUUGGGAUUAUCAACAAAAUAGGCCAACCAGGAAUAAUAAUAAAAAAAUAAAA